UGCGGAAGGAUCAUUACAGUAUUCUUUUGCCAGCGCUUAACUGCGCGGCGAAAAACCUUACACACAGUGUCUUUUUGAUACAGAACUCUUGCUUUGGUUUGGCCUAGAGAUAGGUUGGGCCAGAGGUUUAACAAAACACAAUUUAAUUAUUUUUACAGUUAGUCAAAUUUUGAAUUAAUCUUCAAAACUUUCAACAACGGAUCUCUUGGUUCUCGCAUCGAUGAAGAACGCAGCGAAAUGCGAUAAGUAAUAUGAAUUGCAGAUUUUCGUGAAUCAUCGAAUCUUUGAACGCACAUUGCGCCCUCUGGUAUUCCAGAGGGCAUGCCUGUUUGAGCGUCAUUUCUCUCUCAAACCCCCGGGUUUGGUAUUGAGUGAUACUCUUAGUCGGACUAGGCGUUUGCUUGAAAAGUAUUGGCAUGGGUAGUACUAGAUAGUGCUGUCGACCUCUCAAUGUAUUAGGUUUAUCCAACUCGUUGAAUGGUGUGGCGGGAUAUUUCUGGUAUUGUUGGCCCGGCCUUACAACAACCAAACAAGUUUGACCUCAAAUCAGGUAGGAAUACCCGCUGAACUUAAGCAUAUCAUAAAUCCGGGAGGAAGGAUCAUUACAGUAUUCUUUUGCCAGCGCUUAACUGCGCGGCGAA
rnacentral:rRNA from 1 species